CCGCGCAAAGAAGCGUUUGCUGGAUAGCGUCCCUUGGUGUAUAAUAAAAUAAAAACGCUGGAAGAUAUGAAACCUGUUGGAGAGACUGGCGGACGCCCGGGGCUUUCCCGGCAACGGUUCGCUCUUCCGCCGGGCUGCGGCGGCCUGGCCCUGCGCGUUGCAAAACCAUGAACCCCGUCAGGUCCGGAAGGAAGCAGCGGUAAGUGGCCCUUUGCAGGCGCCGCAGGCAAACCUGGCUGCGCCGCGGCCCGGCGGGAGAGCGAAAGGCGCGG
rnacentral:SRP_RNA from 1 species